CAUCCCCAGACCUAGCGCAUCCUACCAGACUCAAUUGUUGCCCCUCCUUUUGCUGAUCAUAGAGAGACAGAUAGGGAGAGUGAUCGUUGGUGAGGAAUAGAGGGGGUGGUUAGGUCGAGCAGCGCCGGUGCCUUCCUGCUGGAGGAGGAGGAAGACAGUACUAGAAGAACCAGCAAAAAAUGGAUCAAGGAGAAGGGGUUGAAGAUGUACUAGUUCAUCUUGUGCCCGCUAUCUCUUCGUGAUUCUUCAGGCCAAAACCUUAGGUGGCAGUGCUCCAGAUCGCACUUGAAGUGGUUGUCACCUUUGAUCGGAGGCAAAGUAAUUGUAGCAUUGAUUUGCUACUGUUUUGGCUUGUUAUUUUCCUCACCUGAACUUUAAUUCAUAGCUGUGGCUGAUCUAAACAUGGUGGACUUAUCUAUGUUAAAUCUUUUCAAAUAAUUGUCCUAUGUUGUUUUCUCACAUGAGAAUGAUGAUGAAGUAAAGAGUUGAUAAUAUUUGUCAAUGCAUCAUGUCAUGUGCAUUUGCAUUUAUAUGCAUUUGAAGCAGAUCGCGAUCCUAUGGUUGCGAUAGUACCGGUACACAUCGUGCGUUGCCCG